rnacentral:rRNA from 1 species
GAUGAACGCUGGCGGCGUGCCUAAUACAUGCAAGUCGAGCGAACGGACGAGAAGCUUGCUGCUGUGAUGUUAGCGGCGGACGGGGGAGUAACACGUGGAUAACCUACCUAUAAGACUGGGAUAACGUCGGGAAACCGGAGCUAAUACCUGAUAAUAUUUUGAACCGCAUGGUUCAAAAGGGAAAGACGGUCGUGCUGUCACUUGUAGAUGGAUCCGCGCUGCAUUAGCUAGUUGGUAAGGUAACGGCUUACCAAGGCAACGAUGCAUAGCCGACCUGAGAGGGUGAUCGGCCACACUGGAACUGAGACACGGUCCAGACUCAUACGGGAGGCAGCAGUAGGGAAUCUUCCGCAAUGGGCGAAAGCCUGACGGAGCAACGCCGCGUGCGUGAUGAAGGUCUUCGGAUCGUAAAACUCUGUUAUUAGGGAAGAACAUAUGUGUAAGUAACUGUGCACAUCUUGACGGUACCUAAUCAGAAAGCCACGGCUAACUACGUG